ACAACAUGAGGGACUUGAAGCAGAGCAAGAAGGGACUGUUAUGGGGUCCUGUUGACCGAGUCUGAUGGAUGAGGCCAUAGGGUGCCUGUCCAAGUACAACUACCUGAAAACAUUCAGUCUCCUGCUACACUUCAAAUUUGCCAAAGAAGACAUGCUUCAGGCUGUGUCAGAGGUCAUGAGAGGUUCUGGCGGGGAGACGGCAGCAGCUUUAGCUCAGAAUAGGGAAUCACUGCUAAUCCGGGCACUUCAACCGAAUUCCUGGAAAUGGGUUGAAGCAGCGGAAUUUGGAGCAGUGGGAGAAGCAG
ensembl:lncRNA